rnacentral:rRNA from 1 species
GCACUUUUGCGGGUUUCUUCGGAUUGAAGCAAUUGUGACUGAGCGGCGGACGGGUGAGUAACGCGUGGGUAACCUGCCUCAUACAGGGGGAUAACAGUUGGAAACGGCUGCUAAUACCGCAUAAGCGCACAGUACCGCAUGGUACCGUGUGAAAAACUCCGGUGGUAUGAGAUGGACCCGCGUCUGAUUAGCUAGUUGGUGGGGUAACGGCCUACCAAGGCGACGAUCAGUAGCCGACCUGAGAGGGUGACCGGCCACAUUGGGACUGAGACACGGCCCAAACUCCUACGGGAGGCAGCAGUGGGGAAUAUUGCACAAUGGGGGAAACCCUGAUGCAGCGACGCCGCGUGAGCGAUGAAGUAUUUCGGUAUGUAAAGCUCUAUCAGCGGGGAAGAAAAUGACGGUACCUGACUAAGAAGCCCCGGCUAACUACGUGCCAGCAGCCGCGGUAAUACGUAGGGGGCAAGCGUUAUCCGGAUUUACUGGGUGUAAAGGGAGCGUAGACGGCAUGGCAAGCCAGAUGUGAAAGCCCGGGGCUCAACCCCGGGACUGCAUUUGGAACUGUCAGGCUAGAGUGUCGGAGAGGAAAGCGGAAUUCCUAGUGUAGCGGUGAAAUGUGUAGAUAUUAGGAGGAACACCAGUGGCGAAGGCGG